rnacentral:rRNA from 1 species
GAUGAACGCUGGCGGCGUGCUUAACACAUGCAAGUCGAACGGAAAGGCUCCUGCUUGCAGGGGUACUCGAGUGGCGAACGGGUGAGUAACACGUGGGUGAUCAGCCCUGCACUUCGGGAUAAGCCUGGGAAACUGGGUCUAAUACCGGAUAGGACGAUGGUUUGGAUGCCAUUGUGGAAAGUUUUUCGGUGUGGGAUGAGCUCGCGGCCUAUCAGCUUGUUGGUGGGGUAAUGGCCUACCAAGGCGUCGACGGGUAGCCGGCCUGAGAGGGUGUACGGCCACAUUGGGACUGAGAUACGGCCCAGACUCCUACGGGAGGCAGCAGUGGGGAAUAUUGCACAAUGGGCGCAAGCCUGAUGCAGCGACGCCGCGUGGGGGAUGACGGCCUUCGGGUUGUAAACUCCUUUCGCUAGGGACGAAGCGCAAGUGACGGUACCUGGAGAAGAAGCACCGGCUAACUACGUG